GUGGCGGUCGAUUCCCACCGCGCGUCGGCGUCGAGGAGGGCGCUCUCGCCGAAGCUGCCGCCGUCGGCGAGCGUGGCGACGGCGGUCUCGUCGCCGUACUUGCCGACCGAGGUCUGGCGGAUCCGGCCGUGGGCGAUCAGGUGGAUCUGCUCCGCCGGCGUGCCCCGCUCGGCCAGCACCUCACCGGCGCGGAAGUCGCGCUGGACACAGCGGUCGGCGAUGGCGGCCAGCACCUCGGCGUCGUCGAAGCCGCGCAGCAGGGCCAGUUCGCCGAGCUCCGCGGGGAUCACCCGGACCGCCGCGCCGUCCUGGACGAACUCGAUGCGGCCGUCCCCGACGGCGUAGCUCAGGCGGCGGUUCACCCGGUACGUGCCGCCCUUGGUCUCCACCCACGGCAGCAUCCGCAGCAGCCACCUGGAGGUGAUCUCCUGCAUCUGCGGCGCGGACUUGGUCGUGGAGGCGAGGUUGCGGGCAGCCUCGGUGCCGAGGCUCAACUGCCGGG
rnacentral:antisense_RNA from 1 species